UGGACAGGUGUCCGCGUGGGUUCGAGCCCC
rnacentral:piRNA from 1 species